AGUAGCUCAAGCAGUCUUCUUUUCUUCCUGCCCAUCACCAUCUGCAGGUUGUCAUCCUCAAGGCCUCCACCAUCUGCAGGGUCUACAAUGCACCACCUUGAUUUGUUGAUUCGGUCUGGAGCAGCAGCAGAAACAGCUCCUUCCUUCCAUGUAGAUGGAGGGCAUGACCUGCACAAGGAGCUCCAAGGAGACAAAGCUUUUGUGGGGUAAUAUAUGUACAGUGAGUGGAGGACAACAUGAGUAAACCGUGGGGACAAUAUAUGUGGGACAACGAAGGUUGUGGGUGAUUGCUAAAAAUGACAGGGAUGAGAUCCACCGCCAAGAAUGAUGCAUAGCUUAACUGCUGUCGUAGUCUAUUUCCAACAGGGAAUACCUUUCUAGACUCCAGCCUUCACGGUUCUCGUUGAUUCAUCUUGCUAGCAACUGAGUAGCUUUUUUGCAUACUUCUGUCAACAACUCAAGCCACCAAAUGUUUUUUGCCGU